rnacentral:rRNA from 1 species
UACGAAGGGUGCAAGCGUUACUCGGAAUUACUGGGCGUAAAGCGUGCGUAGGUGGUUUGUUAAGUCUGUUGUGAAAGCCCCGGGCUCAACCUGGGAAUGGCAAUGGAUACUGGCAGGCUAGAGUGCGGUAGAGGGUAGUGGAAUUCCCGGUGUAGCGGUGAAAUGCGUAGAGAUCGGGAGGAACACCAGUGGCGAAGGCGGCACCCUGGACCAGCACUGACACUGAGGCACGAAAGCGUGGGGAGCAAACAGG